rnacentral:rRNA from 1 species
AGCAGCCGCGGUAAUUCCAGCUCCAAUAGCGUAUAUUAAAGUUGUUGCAGUUAAAAAGCUCGUAGUUGAAUUUCGGGGUCAGUAGGCUGGUCGUGCCACCGGUACGUACUGGUCUCACUGAUUCCUCCUUCCUGAAGAACCGUAAUGCCAUUAAUUUGGUGUUGCGGGGAAACAGGACUGUUACUUUGAAAAAAUUAGAGUGUUUAAAGCAGGCUAACGCUUGAAUACAUUAGCAUGGAAUAAUGAAAUAGGACGAUCGAUCCUAUUUUGUUGGUUUCUAGGAUUGACGUAAUGAUUAAUAGGGAUAGUUGGGGGCAUUAGUAUUCAAUUGUCAGAGGUGAAAUUCUUGGAUUUAUUGAAGACUAACUACUGCGAAAGCAUUUGCCAAGGAUGUUUUCAUUAAUCAAGAACGAAAGUUAGGGGAUCGAAGACGAUCAGAUACCGUCGUAGUCUUAACCAUAAACUAUGCCGACUAGGAAUCGGACGAUGUUAAUUUUAUAAUGACUCGUUCGGCACCUUA